ensembl:lncRNA
GGAGACAGCGCGCUAGCGGAGCUAGUCUUCUAUCUAUAGCUAUGGUCGGCACGCCUGGUGGCAUCUCUGGCUGCUGUUGACCUUGUUUUUGGAGUAAAACACGGUGGAAGCUGAAUUAGUGAGGAUGACUCCUGCUCCUGUCAUCUCUAAGCUCCUCACACAUCUUUACCUGCACAUGAGGAAAAUCACUCCUGUAGAAUGCAGAUGUUCAGAGGGAGAUGAUGCCACAUCUGGUCCAGCUGAUGGAAGGUCUUGAAGUUCUCUGACUGGCCUCGACUGAAGAUGGUCCUCUCACUGGAUUUAAGAUGCACAAUGAGGGACGUCUGCAACGACUGAGAAAGAGUCUCACCACAUCCUGACAUGAGGAAAAAGACUUUAUUGAAGACUACAAUGAGAAAAACUAUCAGACAGCAGACGGCUGCAUUCAAGUCUGGAGCUGCUGAAUUCAUGGAUGAAUCAUCUGGCACUAGAGAGGAAGACCAUCAAAUAUCCACGUCAGCUGAUGGAGGUCGAC